UACGUAGGGUGCAAGCGUUGCCCGGAUUUAUUGGGCGUAAAGGGCUCGUAGGCGGCCAACUAAGUCGGAUGUGAAAUCCCUAGGCUUAACCUAGGAACUGCGUCGGAUACUGGAUGGCUUGAAUCCGGGAGAGGGAUGCGGAAUUCCAGGUGUAGCGGUGAAAUGCGUAGAUAUCUGGAGGAACACCGGUGGCGAAGGCGGCAUCCUGGACCGGUAUUGACACUGAAAAGCGAAAGCCAGGGGAGCAAACGGG
rnacentral:rRNA from 1 species